GAUGAACGCUGACAGAAUGCUUAACACAUGCAAGUCUUUGGCGAAGCUGUGCUUGCACAGCCUAGCCAAGGCGGACGGGUGAGUAACGCGUAAGGAACUUGCCCUGCAGUCAGGGAUAACAGACGGAAACGACUGAUAAGACCUGGUAAAGUCAGGCGGACUCAUGUCCAGCCUGAUGAAAAGAGAUGCUGCAGGAGAGCCUUGCGUCCUAUUAGCUUGUUGGUGGUGUAACGGCCCACCAAGGCGAUGAUAGGUAGCCGGCCUGAGAGGGUGGACGGCCACAAGGGGACUGAGAUACGGCCCUUACUCCUACGGGAGGCAGCAGUGGGGAAUAUUGGACAAUGGGGGCAACCCUGAUCCAGCAAUUCUGUGUGCACGAUGAAGGUUUUCGGAUUGUAAAGUGCUUUCAGCAGGGAAGAAAAAAAUGACGGUACCUGCAGAAGAAGCGACGGCUAAAUACGUG
rnacentral:rRNA from 1 species